AGCUAUAUAAGGUUGAAACACCGAUUCCCGUAAGUUCAGCGAAGUUAAGUAACGUCGAGCCUGGUCAGUACCUAGAUGGGUGAGCGAUUGGGCAUAUCAGGUGCUGUA